rnacentral:misc_RNA from 1 species
GAUGAAGAACGCAGCGAAAUGCGAUACUUGGUGUGAAUUGCAGAAUCCCGUGAACCAUCGAGUCUUUGAACGCAAGUUGCGCCCGAAGCCACUAGGCCGAGGGCACGCCUGCCUGGGCGUCACACGUCGUUGCCCCCCCCCCAUCUACUCCUUCGGGAUUGCGGGGGGCGGAUGAUGGCCUCCCGUGCGCCUAGCCGCGCGGUUGGCAUAAAUACCAAGUCCUCGGCGACGCACGCCACGACAAUCGGUGGUUGCGAAACCUCGGUUGCCCGUCGUGUGCGUUCGUCGCGCAUCGAGGGCUCGAAAAAAUGCUCGGCUCCGGCUCGGCUUUCAACGCGACACCAGGUCAGGCGGGGUUACCCGCUGAAUUUAAGCAUAUCAAUAAGCGGAGGA